UCCAGGUUCAGCCUAGGCACACUCAGUAUCCAACACAGGCUGGAGAUGAAAUAAGGAAACUCUUUUGGGCAUAGCUGUAAGGUCAACAAAUUGGAAAAAGCCACAAUUCACCCUUGGGAAGGAUUAAAUAUGCCGACAUCCUCCAAAUUGAUUUACCUAGAUCAGACCACAUGUUAAUGAGGCAGACAAGUUACUCUAAUUCAUCGUUACUAUUCUAAAUGCAGGGACCUUUUCACAUUGAAGAGGCGGGGCAAUGGAUUCAAAUGAGCAUCACUCACUUACGGCUUGUCACUCACCCUUGCUAGGCCAAAGCCAUUUAUAAUUGCUGUCAUCUAAACUGCACUGAAACGAACUGGACAUUCAAAGAGCGCAGCUCCCAAGAAACAAAGGCUAAUAAGAGCAGUUACCAGCAUUUUUGGAACAAAGCAGACGGAAGCUGGGAUAGGAGGAAAGAAGAGGACAGAAGCAGAGACAGAGUUCUAAUGAGACAUUUCACCAAGAUUUAUGAAGGGGUCCCAAAUUGGAUGGGUGUUUCCAGUGGCAUGCUCUUACAGACAGACCUGUUAAUUUCCAGUUUACCUUCUCCUACCUGCCAUCUGUAGGCUCCUUCUUGAGCAAACUACAGUGCGAGGUGAUCUGGGGACUAUUGUACAUGAAGCCAUGCAGCUUUGUCUGAAAGAUACCUACUCAAGUAAGUUUUAAUUUUGCAACUCUUUUGGUUAAGCUAAUUUUUUAAAAUUACAAAAAACACUAAGUAUUAUGCAAAUGUUUACAAAGCAAUGACUUUCUUAGGAAAUUAAACACAACUUUUGGCACUUUACAUAUAAGACAACAUUUUGUGGAGAAUAAAGGAGUCUAUAACACCGCUUUUAUAUAACUGAGCAAUCAAAAUGUAUGAAUAUAAAAUUUAAAAAAUUGAAUGAGUCCACUCUGUGAAAAUAAGGCUUUAAAAUCAGUUGGAAUUAAUGUAACCUGAACUUUCAUUUUAAAUACAUGGCAUAAAAUUUAAUUUUAAAAUACUCAAUUAUUAUAAUGUGCCCUCUAAGGAUGGAAGAGAAAUAGUAUCUUUUCUAAAGUGUUCAUUAUAAUAAUUAUGAAAGGAUUUUAAAAAUACAGAACACUGGAAAAAAUGUAUGAGAAAAGAAAUAAAAGUCACCAAAUGCUAUCAUCUAAAGAUAGAAUAUUAAUAUUUAACAAACUGUAUUCUACCAUUUUUCUAAUACCAUCAUGUUCAAAGCAGCCUUAAUUUAGUUUCUAAAAUAGUAACAGAAUGUUUGAUACCUGGGGCUACUUUUUAACUGUGUGUUUCUAACAUUAUACAUUUUUCCUUAUAUUUGAAGUGUUUAAUAGUGCUCACAUUGCUUUCUAGCACCUCUGGAUGAGCCCUGUGAGAAAGCUCUCCAACACAGGGGAGGGAAUGAGGCUCUGACAAGCACAGCAAGCACACACGGCCUGGACACGCUGCCGAGGAGCCUCUGCUUUUAACCCUCCAGGCUUUCCAGGCAAAUGGCUAACAGAAGGCUGGUGCUUUCGGAAGGAGACGAGCAACACAAUCAACCAACCACAAGGAAACCAAGUAAGCCCAUGAGGACUCCACACUUGGAACACUGUGUGUGUCUCCAGUUACUGUUGCCCAUGCAGAAGACAAUGGAAUUGAAGAGGCCAUCCAAAGGUCUGGGAGGAAGUAAUGGGGAGGACAGUUUAUUUAUAUAAGAGUAUCUCAAGAAGAGAUUAAGAAGACAAAGACGCUAGUCUGAAAGUAAAUCUGAAGAAGAGUAUAUUUGUAAAAUUGCUAAAAAGUUAUAUAUACCUAUGACUGUCAUUUUCUCAUUUCCCAUUCCUUCAACCCAUUAAGAUAUACCCUCCUUCUGUUUGACAUUACCAGAAUCACUCCUCUAUUUUAAUUAUCCAAUAAUAGGUAUCUUUCCCUCCAGCCAUUCUUUAAAUUAAGACAAGUCAUACCCCUAAAACCAAGGUCUGAUCAUGUAUUUCCUAAGUAGAAAACCCACAAGGACCUUUGUUCACUCAGCAAUGAAAGAUUCUGGAGCCAUGGAUUUCACAGCCUUUUGCAAUAUAAUCUCAACUCGCAUUUAGCGAUUUCUCACUAGAUGCUACCCCUCUCUUUAUCCUUCCAAUCUCAGCCUCUGAUAUCAUCACUAUAGUUAGAGGAGACUGCUCACUGUCCCCUGGAUAUGCCAUUUAUUUACUGCAUUUGUGCCUCCGCACAGAUGCCCAGUUUGAGAUAUCCCCUCUAACAUCAAUCUUCAAAUCUCUGCUAUCUCAAAUACUUUUUAUUGAAGACUUAGCUGAAAUUUCACCUUUCUGUGAAAUCUUCAUCAAUCUGUCAGUUAACAUUAUUUUUUCUCCUCUUUCCUGUAUUCCUUAGCACUUUAUUUGGCCUGUGUUAUACUUAUAAUCCCAUUCUUUGGGUCUCAUUUCUGACUACCCCACUGGGGUAGGGAAGCAAGACAUUUUAGACACAUUUUGAGACUUUGAGGCUGAUGUUAUGAGGAUAACUUUGCCUCUCUACAAUGGAACCUCUGGUGCUGAAAUCAGAAGACUGAGCUAGAAAAAUCAGAGGCCUGACCCAGUGUGUCAGUUUCUGUCAUCUUUAGCUUAUCUCAGACACCAGGAAAUUUAUAGAUUAUAUGUUUGCUCCACUAACAUGAUGAGUCUAAUGCUCAUGGGACAGCUAACUUCCAGGUAGUGAUGACUGAAGAAGUCUACUUUAUUUGCACUGAAUGUUUAUGUAGCAUUGGGUGGAUCAUAUUAUGCAAUAUCUCUAGGCCAAAGCAUCAUUUUCCCAACACUCACUUUCCUAACCUUUAGAUAACUUUAUAAAAUAAUAUGAGUCAUGCGUUGCAAAAGAUUACACCUUCUCCCUACAACAGAAGGGGAAAUUCACUGAUUUCCACUCCCUUUUCCUUAUUCUCAUAAAUCAUAAACUUAAAUUUACCCUAGGGAUUUUAUUUCUUUGAACUCAAUGUACAAGCAUAAAACAAAUUUUGUUCUCACAGGACAUCCCAUUUUUGUUUCAUUAGUUCAAGGAAAGGGUCACUCAAUUUUUAAAGCAUUUGGUUUGAUCUUUGCUAUGAUUCAUGCUACCUAACAUCCACAGACACACUCUAUAUACUGAAAUGUAUCUUAUAUAUAAAAUGUGUCUCCAUGGACCCUAUAAUGGUGGUACUCUCACGUAAAGUACUCAAAAGCUGUAUUAUGGAUACAUGAGUCUAGGCAGGGUAACCAGAAGUAGAAAAUAAAUUAAUUUUGUUGAAUAUUUAAAUAAUUGUUGUUUUGCCCAAGUUCCUAUUACACGACAGAUUUCUGUUUCUUCUUAUGAAAGGUAAAAUACUUCCCUGGGGCUACGGGAGGAAAUGCUUGAAAAAAUUUCACCAAAUAUAAGGCCUAGAUUAUACUAGUUCUAUUUUAUACAUUUUUAUUCUAUGUUCAGCCAUCUCACUGAUAUUUCAUUCCACAGAGAGGGAGGUGAUAAAAUAUUUUUUUAAGGUAAUAAAGGAAAAAGGAAAUAAAGAGGAUUUGUCAUAAUUUAACUAGAUAAAAAUAAUUCUUGUGAUCUUAAUGUAAGAAUAGACUAUGAUCUCUAAAAGAAUACUGAAUUAUGGAAACAUGAUUUUUACAUAAUAGAACCAUUUACACAUAGAAUUUAAUCCUACUAAACAAUAAUUCUUAAGGCUCUAUUGGCUUAUAUACAUUUUUGUCUCUAAAUCCUUUCCAGGGCACCGUUAAGUUAUUUUAAAAUAUUUCCUCAUUGUAUUGCCAUGGAAGAGAUUCUCCCUUACCUCUUCUCAUGACCAAAAUUCUAUUUCCCAU
rnacentral:lncRNA from 1 species